rnacentral:rRNA from 1 species
CCGCACAAGCGGUGGAGCACGUGGUUUAAUUCGAUGACAAACCGAACGAACCUUACCGUGGGUUUGACAUGUACGGUGGUACGGAUAUGAAAGUUGAAGGACUCCGCUUUCGGGUGGAGAGCGUACACAGGUGCUGCAUGGCUGUCGUCGGCUCGUGUCGUGAGAUGUUGGGUUAAGUCCCGCAACGAGCGCAACCCCUGCAUUCAGUUGCCAUCGGGUGAAGCCGGGCACUCUGGAAGGACUGCCAUCGACAAGAUGGAGGAAGGUGGGGACGACGUCAAGUCAUCAUGGCCCUUAUGUCCAGGGCGACACACGUGCUACAAUGGCCGGCACAACGGGAAGCGAGUUCGCGAGGACGAGCGGAUCCCUUAAAGCCGGUCGCAGUUCGGAUUGAAGUCUGCAACUCGACUUCAUGAAGCUGGAAUCGCUAGUAAUCGCAGAUCAGCCAAGCUGCGGUGAAUACGUUCCCGGGCCUU